GCCAGUGAUUGGCGCGCCAGUGAUUCGCGCGGUUUAAUCAAAGAAUCGUCCCGUUGAACCAGAGCCUUCGCGCCGUUACAAUUUAUUAUAUACUGUCGAAGGCUCUGGAAUCCAGGGUACACAUUUUAUUAACCCAAAUUGAAUUUGUCAUGAACUGAUAUGCAUGCAUGUGAUGUCAAUGUUUUUGAUACCAUUAACCCAUUUCUGAUUGCAUAUACUAUACUGUACACGAUAAUUUACAUGUCGGAUAUCUUCGGAGUAAAGAAUCUAGUGAAAAGUCCAAGUAUAAUUUAUAAAACUCAAAUAUAAUUUAUAAAAUGUUUCUCAAAAGGCAAUAUAUAUUUUAAAAAAUCCAUUUUUUGAAACUCGUAUAAACUUCCCUUAGAUAUAAGUUAGAGUAUGUCAUUGUCCACACAAACCAUUUAGCAGUACCCUGUCCACUAUAUAUAAUACAUAAAUAUACAACCGACGCCACUUUCAGUUUGUAUGUUUGAAAAUUUUAAUUUUAAAAAACAGGUCAAUUUUUACUGCGGUAUUGGUAAUAUAAAAAUAAAAAGCAAUAGAAACUUGCAACGUACAAUAACUAAUGUCUAGUGAGUGCUCGGGUGAUUGGUAAACUAAAAAUAUAAUAAAUAUACAAUCUCUGCUUUUUGAAACGACGGGUUUUGACAUUGGUAUACAUUUCGUGUCCAUGUCUGCAGAUCCACACAGUCAGUUAUUAAUAUUAAUUUUUAAAUUUUUCUCAUGAAUUAUUAAAGAUUUUUACGAUUUCUUACCGGUGAGAAGAAAUAUCCUGCCUUGAGAAAGUAUUGUGGCAUCCAUAAGCCGAGCAUAAACGAGGAAUUUUUGCGAAGUUGUUUGAGUUUGUAAAUUGUAUUAAGUUUGUUUUUUGUAUAAAAAAACAAGCAAAAUGAAAGAUGAAAUCGUCGUCUUAAGCCGAGGAUCGCGGUUGGUCAGUGAUAAUUACCAUGAGGAUUUGGGACAGUGGCGUCAUUCUGGCGUUAGCAGACGUGAAAAUUCACCAUGUUUUUGACGACACUGGUUCAUGCCGAGCACUUCCUCCAGAUAUAUUAUAACUCAGUGGGUACGGCCUGGAGUGAGGCGUGUUAGACAUGUCUUAAAGAAAGAAAACCAGGAAAUCCUCGUAAAUAGUUUUAUCCCUUUCUAUUUAUCGUUUUAAGAAUGACUUUGUAUGUCCGAGUGUCUAUAUAUUGGAGAUGUGUUCUUUCUAUUCGUCUCCCCUGCAUCUUGGUGCCUCUGGUCAAAAGACAGAAGCUCUCUUCAUUUGUACAUGUACAUGUACAUGAAUUUCCCCAACGAUGGUACAAGUUAACAUUAAAGGGAAAUGGCAAUAUAACAACUUUUGAAACUAUAUAUUAACGAUUUUUCAUACCUUGCAUAGUUCUUGAAAUAUUUUCACUUGAAGUAAUGUCUAAUGAGAUGUCCGCCAUCUUUGAUAAAUUUUUGAUCUCAUUAACGAUAGUUUUGGUGACGUCACAAACGGGAUUAACUAUAUAAAAGUAUUCGUUGCUU